rnacentral:rRNA from 1 species
AGCGAACGCUGGCGGCAGGCCUAACACAUGCAAGUCGAACGAACUCUUCGGAGUUAGUGGCGGACGGGUGAGUAUCACGUGGGAACGUGCCUUUUGGUUCGGAAUAACUCAGGGAAACUUGUGCUAAUACCGAAUGUGCCCUUCGGGGGAAAGAUUUAUCGCCAUUAGAGCGGCCCGCGUCUGAUUAGCUAGUUGGUGAGGUAACGGCUCACCAAGGCGACGAUCAGUAGCUGGUCUGAGAGGAUGACCAGCCACACUGGGACUGAGACACGGCCCAGACUCCUACGGGAGGCAGCAGUGGGGAAUCUUGCGCAAUGGGCGAAAGCCUGACGCAGCCAUGCCGCGUGAAUGAUGAAGGUCUUAGGAUUGUAAAAUUCUUUCACCGGGGACGAUAAUGACGGUACCCGGAGAAGAAGCCCCGGCUAACUUCGUG